rnacentral:lncRNA from 10 species
CAAAGUGUUGGGAUUAUAGGUGUGAGCCACCACAGCUGGCCAAGACUACAAGGUUUUUACUUAAACGUUUUUUCUCUUAAAUCUAAAUUACCUUUCUUCCAUACCAAAAAUCCUAGUUCCUGAUACCAACAUAAUUUCACUUGCUUUAUCCCAUAAUGCACACAACAGUCUCAAGAAGAACGAGAGAGAGAGACAGAGAGAGAGAAAGAGAGAGAGAGAAAAGAGAAAGAGAGGGAGGGAGGGAAGAAAGGAAGGAAAGAAGGAAAGCAGGAAGGCAGG